rnacentral:rRNA from 1 species
UCAAGCUAUAAAGAGCGUAGGGAGAAUGACUUGGCAUCAGGAGCCGAAGAAGGACGUGACAAGCUGCGAAAAGCUGCGGUUAGGAGCAAAUAUCCAUAGACCCGCAGAUAUCCGAAUGGGGAAACCCGGUACGGCAAUACCGUAUCACUGCAUGGUAAAUACAUAGCCAUGUGGAGGAAACCCUCUGAACUGAAACAUCUAAGUAGGAGGAGGAAGAGAAAGAAACAUCGAUUUCCUAAGUAGCGGCGAGCGAAAGGGAAAGAGGCCAAACCAGAGAUAGCAAUAUCUUUGGGGUUGCGGACUGCAUAAUUGAUUUAACAUCUUUAGCAGAAGUGUAUGGGAAGACACACCAUAGUAGGUAAUAGUCCUGUAAGCGAAAGGGAUGUUAACAUGGCAGUAUCCAGAGUACCACCGGACACGAGGAACCCGGUGGGAAGCCGGGGGGACCACCCCCCAAGCCUAAAUACUACCUGAUGACCGAUAGUGAAAAGUACAGUGAUGGAAAGUUGAAAAGAACCCCGGAAGGGGAGUGAAAAAGAAUCUGAAACCCUAUGUUUACAAGCUGCUAAAGCACUAUAUAUGUGCGAUAGCGUACUUUUUGUAGAACGGUCCGGCGAGUGUAUGUUGCAAGCGAGGUUAAGGUGUUAAGCACUGAAGCCGAAGGGAGACCGAGUGUGAAUAGCGCGUACAGUUUGCAGUAUACGACCCGAAACCGGGUGACCUAACCAUGGACAGGUUGAAGUGGAAGUAAAAUUCCAUGGAGGACCGAACCCACGUCUGUUGAAAAAGGCGGGGAUGAGCUGUGGUUAGCGGUGAAAUUCCAAUCGAACUCGGAUAUAGCUGGUUCUCAUCGAAAUAGCUUUAGGGCUAGCCUCAGGAUAGUUUAGCGGAGGUAAAGCACUGAAUGGGCUAGGGGGCUUCACGGCUUACCGAACCCUAUCAAACUCUGAAUGCCGCAUAAAUGUUUCCUGGGAGUCAGACUGCGUGAGAUAAGUUUCGUAGUCAAAAGGGAAAGAGCCCAGACCUACAGCUAAGGUCCCUAAAUGAAUUUAAGUGGAAAAGGAUGUGCAGUUGCGUAGACAACUAGGACGUUGGCUUAGAAGCAGCCACUCAUUUAAAGAGUGCGUAAUAGCUCACUAGUCGAGUGAUUGUGCGCCGAAAAUGUAACGGGGCUAAAAUUCAUACCGAAGCUUAGGAAUGAUAGUAAUAUUGUUGGUAGAUGAGCGUUGUGUAAGCCUGAGAAGCUACACCGAAAGGAGUAGUGGAGGUAUCACAAGUGAGAAUGCCGGAAUGAGUAGCGAGAAUUAUGUGAGAAUCAUAAUGGUCGAAAAUCUAAGGUUUCUUGAGGAAGGUUCGUCCGCUCAAGGUAAGCCGGGAGCUAAGGCGAGGCCGAGAGGCGUAGUCGAUGCACAUACGGUAAAGAUUCCGUAGCCACCGAAGUCGUUAAAUACAGGGACACAGGAACAUAGCCUAACCCCACCGUUGGUUGAGUGGGGCGUAAGGGAGCGAAAAUUAGUAGCGAAGUGGGUGAUUGUACACUGGCGAGAAAAGCUGUAUGAAUUGACAAGGUGCCCGUACCGCAAACCGACACAGGUAGAUGAGGAGAGAAUCCUAAGACCAGCGGGAGAAGUGUUGUUAAGGAACUCGGCAAAAUGACCCCGUAACUUCGGGAUAAGGGGAGCCUACGCGAGUAGGCCGCAGAGAAUAGUCUCAAGCGACUGUUUAGCAAAAACACAGGUCUAUGCUAAAUCGAAAGAUGAUGUAUAUGGGCUGACGCCUGCCCGGUGCUGGAAGGUUAAGGGGAAGUGUUAGAGCAAUCGAAGCACUGAACUUAAGCCCCAGUAAACGGCGGCCGUAACUAUAACGGUCCUAAGGUAGCGAAAUUCCUUGUCAGGUAAG